ACGGGAGGUUGAUCUCAUUUCUGAAGCAAUGGCCUGUGAAUCAGGAGAUCCAGCUCUGCCAAGACUCUGUCAGCCUGGACAAGUCGCUUCCUCGGGGCCUCGUGGUAAAUGAGAGAUACUCCUGCUUCCUUUUUCUGCUCUCCUACCUGCAACGCAAGCUCUUCAGGACAAGGACUGUUUCUAGCAAUGCAAUUAUAUGGAACAAAGCAUGGUGGGCCUUAGAGCUGGUUGAGGCUUUUGUACUAACUAUGACUCUUAAUUAUAGCAGGGAAAAUAAACAAAACAACAAAACUGAAACAUGGUUAUACUUCUGGUGAAUGCUCAGAUUGCAGUUUUGUACACCAAAAGGAAACCAAAUUUUUUUAAAUAAGAUUUUUUUAAAAAGACAUGCUUUAGUCAAAAACGCUAUAUUUGGGGGGAAAACUGAUUAUAAAAAUAAAUAUCAAUUCUUUUGUUCUGCACCACACAUUUUUGCCUACUUACAAAUACUCCAUACUUUCUUGCAUGUAUUCGGUGACACUGAGACUACAGAAGCAGAGACUCAGAGCAGACCAGCUAUGCUGACUAUCAGCUGCCAGACUACACAGGGUAGAGUCUUGGAAUCAGCUAAGAAACCACAUUUUACCCCUCUCGUCUAUUUGAGUAUUUGCUGUAUCUGCCUGGAAAGUACCAACUUUCUUAAGUUUCUCGGGGUCCUGUGGUGCCCAGUUGAGUUUCUGUGUGGUUGUGGCCUCAUCUACGCUGUUACAGAUGUUUUAUUCUUUGGGAUGCCGCCUUCUGCUCUUUGAGCUUGCUUUCGUUUCUCAGUAGAUGCUUCCUUUGUGCAAAUGGCACAUACGUUCACGCAGGAGUGUUUUUGCUACAGCCUGGGCUGCUAAUACUUGUGACCAGACUUCGCUCUCCUUAUCAGCAUUGAAGGAAAAUAGGAAGGGCAGCCUGGAGUAUGUACAUCUAUACACCCGGAGACAGAAAGAGAGAGCACGCGAGUCUGCGAAAACCAACAGUAUCACCACAACUCGAAAGAAAGAAUGUGUGUAAUUGGAUUGCUUAUUGGAAACACAGAAGUCAGGCUGAGAAGACAGCACGGCACUUAAUUCUGCAAAACUUUGACCAACGUUUCCAAGAAAGAUGCGCUUAUCUGGGGAGCCUCCUCUGAGGUUGGGGUUUGAACCUGGGAACGGCGGCGACCCAAGUGUGGGUGAAAUCGGGGCUAUUUUCCUGUGAUUCUGCAGAAGGAGCACGGAGACGCUGCCUGUCUGGAGUCCCAUAAAACAGAUCUUUUCCUUGUCAUUAAGAAUAUUGAUGUUCAUUA